rnacentral:tRNA from 1 species
GCAUUGGUGGUUCAGUGGUAGAAUGCACGCCUGCCACGCGGGCGGCCCGGGUUCGAUUCCCGGCCCAUGCA